AUACCUUUCUCGGCCUCUUGGUUAAGAUCAAGUGUAGUAUCUGUUCUUAUCAGUUUAAUAUCUGAUACAUGAAUCUACGGAUCCAUGAGAUAUAUUAAGUUAAUUUUUUGUGGGGAAGGUUUAGUGGCUUGCUGCUGAGCCCUCAAGCGUUGCCUGGGCGUUGCACUAUAGCCUGGGCAGACGCACCCCAA
rfam:Triticum aestivum genome assembly, contig: Triticum_aestivum_CS42_TGACv1_scaffold_558788_7AL